UCCAAAUUCCCUAGUUUGGCAUUUGAGGCCCUCUGCAAUCUAUCUUUAUUCUGCCAACAAUUUCAUCAACCAACGCUCUCCUUCUGCUCCUGCUUUCCUAUGUGAUCUUUGGGAUUGCUUUCUCGAUGCCUUGUUAAAUGUCUUUGUGCUGUGGCCCAUCCAGAUUACCUUAUUUUAGAAUGAGGACUCUAGAUCUCCCUUAUCCAGAUUUAUUUUUCUGCAUUUACUUAUUGCUUCCUAAUAUACCAUAUAACUUACCUACCAGUUAUAUAUUUUUUUUUCUAUUUUCUCCUCAGAACAUAAGCUGCAGGAAUACAAGUGUCAGUGACUGUUGUUUUCCACAGUAUCACCAGUGUUUAGAAUAGUGCCAUCUCCAUAGCUUGGGUUUCUUUUUCUUCUACUUGGAUUUACCUUUCUCUCCAUGUAUCUAAAUCCUACCCACUUGCCAAGGCCUAGCUUUAAUGCCAUCUCUUGUGAAAAAUUUUCCUGCUCUCCUGAAGUAAGGCGAAGAUAAUCCCCCCUCUUCUUGAAAAUUGAUAGCAUUCUGACAAAAACUAUUUUAAUAUCACUGAGACAAUGAUUAUUGCUUGUAUUUCAGCUAUUUGUGUGCAUGUCUUGUCUCUAACAGUUCCGUAAGAGCAGAUUUCACUGGUAACUUAUCUUUACAAUCUUGGUAGUACCCAGCUCUGCCUACAUGGUAAACCUUUGAUAAACACAUGUUGAAAACUAGUGCCAUGGAUAUGCUUCUCACAGUACUUGCUACUGAAAUAUAGGAACAAGAUUUUGACUUAUAAAAUAUUUCUGUCAAAAGGAAUUUUAAUUUUUGAGCUGCAUUAUUUUGUUUGGGGGGACUUCAAUUAUGUCUUAAACUGAAUGGACUGAAAAUAUCCAAUAAAAACACAUUUUAUAUCCUUAAUUUCAUAUUCAGAGCCUAGACUAUGUCUUGUCAACUGACUAUUUUAUUUCAGAAUAAUUUCCUUCUUUCAAAGGAUUUGUGCCCCAUGCAAAUUGUCUAUUCACAAUCCAUAUCUAAGUUCAUAAUUUAAUUAAGGAUAAUACAAAUACACAAAGAAUAUAGGAUUAAUGCCAAGCAAUAUACAUAGAUUUACUAUCACUGUGGUGGUUUACUUUUCCAUGGUGUGUGUCUUAGCAUUAAUCACGCACUUUAUAUUAACUAGUACUGGGAAGAGGAUAGGACCGUGCCACAAAAGAUCUUAGGAGUGAAAGCAGAUUUUAUAAAGAUCUUACCUUCUUUCUUUAUUCUGGAAUUGCAGAGAAAAGCCUCUACCACUGGAUUAUAUUUGAUUCCAAAGCUUUCUCUUACAAUUUUUUCUUUUGCAUUUAUUUCUAUUACUUAAAAUAAAUGGCUUCCUCCUUUUUUAUAUGAAAUUUUCCUAAUUCAAAAUUCAAUAUUUAUCACCAAGGCCUUAAGUAGGGAUUUUUUUUUGUACUUCUUUUUAAGGAAGUAUUUUUUUUUCUUUUUAAAUUCUCAAGGUAAAAGUAUUUACAAAGUAACAAAACUAGGGCUCAUUCAGUGGACAACUGGUAAUUCGUAUAUCAUAUUUCUUAAAACUACUUUAAAGUUGAUGUGAAAAGAUAUUGUAACUGAUGGAAUUAUGCUCAAAGUCUUGAAUGUGUUUCAGAGAAAUCAUUGAUAUUGAGCACAUACAAUACCUAGGAAUUCUGAAGCAUGUCAGGGAGUUGCCAUAUGGUGGUAUGCAAUAAAAUGUACUUUGCAAAUUCUUCAUGUAAAAAUUUAGUCUUGGCUCACAACAGGAGUCUACUCCCUUUCCACCUGUCCUAUGUUGCUGAAAGCCUUUGCCAGGAAACUGGGUCCUGUGCUAACUUCCAGUGACACAUAUCCAUGCUUGCUUCCCUCAGCUCUGUGCCCAUAGAUCAGCCUUGCUCAGAACAGACAGAUUUUGCAAUGAGAUUUGGGUUGGUAGAAUGGGGAAAGACUCUACCUGAUGAGCAAUUUUAGGCUUGGGGAUGCUUUCUGAUCCCCAGACUUGCUGAGUACUAGUAUUAGGAUACCCCAGCAGCAAAAAACUGGAUACCCCUUAACUUUCCUUUGUUUAAGGAUGUAUUUUCUCUGGUUUAGUAUUCCACCCUUGCUAUUUCCAACCCCUUGUUAAUGGACUCGGUUUUUAAGGGUUUUUAGCACUUCAUCCGAUUCCCAUAAUGUCUGGUAUACAAUGGCAUUCAAUAAAUCUUUAUUGGGCUUAUGAAUAAACAUGAGUAAAAUACUCAAAUGGUUCAUUUCCUAUAUAACCCCUUUUUAAAAAAGUAUUUUUAGUUGUAGAUUGGCAUAAUACUUUUAUUUAUUUAUUUUUAUGUGGUGCUGAGGAUUGAACCCAGUGCCAAAUAUGUGCUAGGCAAGUGCUCUACUUCUGAGCUACAACGCUAGCACCCUAUGAAAGCCUUUCUAUUGCUUUAGUUUCAAACUAAAGAUCUUUGGUAGUAAGAAUAUUUUCAGGUUCUGCACAUGCCUUAGGGGAUCACUAUAUAAAAAAUCUCAUUUAAUCCUUUCAGAGAGAAAUCAAUAGUACCAAGUCUGGAUUAUAAAACUUGCUUAUUUGCAUUGUUACCACCUUGCCAAUUGUACAGGCCAUGAGACUUUUUCUUUUUUUUUUUUUUUUGAAAAUUAGGAAAACUGCUCAGUUCAAACACAGGAAACAUUAUCUCUGACCUAUUGCUGACAUGGCUGGCAAUGAGGCUUAUGUGCACUGAGUACACUUCCUUUGAUUCCUCAUUUAGACUCCCUUUUUAACCAUUGGAAGGACUUAGAAAUUGAUUAGUGGUCCUUAAGCCCUGCUGAUCAACAGUGGCAAAAUAAAACGCAGUGGUAUAUGGUUCUAUUUUGUCUUUUAUUGUAGUUAGGAAAAAUGAGAUGUCCAAUGCCAGAUUACAGUGUAUCCAAUUGUGUUUUCUCCUUUAUUCCUUAGUAAAAGUGGAAAGAACUGGGGGUGGGAAGCCGAGAAUUAAUGUGCCUUAUAAAAAAACUAGAAAACUCUCAGAAUAAGUCAAAGCCUAAUAUCCGUAUAGAACAUUAAAACCCAUACUUUGGAACACUGUGCUUUAAAAACAAAUUGAGGUGCUAGUGGCAUAGAAGAAAAUCCAAAUGCAAAUGAUGAAGAGACAGCUAUAAACUGCAGGUUGGUUGGCUGCAGUUCGGUCCAUGAAGCACUAGCUGGCAUUAGUGUGAAAUUUAAAUUCACUUCUGUCCUGGUGAUUGCCUCUUUGGAACUCAUUAAACAUUCUUUGGCCUCACAUUUUAGACUGAGUAAAGCCAAAGAGUGUGAUCCAGGCAGAAAUUAACCUCAGGGUCUGCAAGCGCCUGUAACUGAGCAGCUAAGAAGUUGAUAUUCUGUCCUGGAAGAAGAUUUUCAGAAUGGGUGGAGCUUGGGAGUUGAGAAUCCGAAUGGCACAGCUGUAUAUGAAGCCAAUAGCAGUUGUGUGGCUUCUACUUUAUUAAAAUUACUCCUCUUUUGGAUUGUAUGCUAAUCUUUUGAGCUUCAUCAUUUUGGUUUCUGCUUGAGAGCUGGCUCUUCAAAAACUUUAAGUGACAAUGACAGUCUACGAAAUUGCUCUUUGAGAACAAUUAAACAAAGUCAGGAGGCAUGUAAUAUUUUUAGCAGUGGGUAAAAGGGAUCAUUUAACUAUGACAGAGUGAAGCUCACAGUCUUUAGAACUGUUUCAACGGAUCUGAUUGUUAUGUGACAGAUUUGGGAUGAUGGCUGGUUUUUACAGGCUGGCUGAGCCCAGAUGGUAUGUGGAGGAAAUAUUUGCUGAUGCAAUAGAUAGAACUUAGAGUCUACAAGGAAUUAACCUAGGCAAGAAAGUAUUUUUCUUUCUGUUCAACAGGUGACUGCAGAAGAGAUCUAUUGAAAAUCAGGUUAAACGACAGUGCUAUGUGCUAAUAGACUAGGAUCAGGAGGAUGAAACAAUAAUCCAAAAGAGAAGCCUAGAAUACCACCUAAACAAUUAUCAGGAUAUCAAAAGAAUGUUCGUAUUCACUUCCUAGAAGAAGGGAAUUAGGAAGUGGUCACUCAUAAACUAAGAUAGACAGGAGGUGAUACUGUUAAUAAAAUGGACUUAUUAUUACAGCUGUUCUGAUUGUUUAGGAUCAGAAUGUUCUUAGUCUUGAUUCAUUAAGCUUUCAGUGCCUAGGACUAAUAGCGGAAUAGUGUGUGGACACAGGUUACCAAAUCCUCUGGAAAUAAAGUUUCUUUACACCAAAAUCAGCUAUAUUUUAAUUAAUAUAAAAUAUAUACCUUGACCAUCUUGGCAUAUGGGGAGUGAAAAAUACAGUUUUGGAGUGGUUGAGGCAUGAUGGGAGGAGUAGAAAGCUGGGUCAGGAAGCCUACUUCAUUUUAAAGUGCCAGAAGGAGUCCGCCCUCUUCUCACCUUGCCCCUGGGAUCUUUUCUCUGGUACUUUUGGGGAAUGCGCAGGCUGUGCAAUUAUAUAACUAGAAGUUAAAAUAUAAGCUCCAGUAUUCAACCCCCAUGGGAAUUUACGUAUUCAUUAAUCCAGGUGAGCUUCAUUUUAUUUUGUCUCUUUUAAACUUUGUUAUAAACUUACAGGGAUAUCAUGCAAUAUGCAUGAGAAGAAAAGAAGCAUAGGAUUAAAGUCCUAGAGUCAGAUAGAAGGGGUUUUAAUCUUGGCUUAAUUGCCCACAAGUCGGUUGACUUUGUGCCUCUGUUUCCUCUUGGAUAAAAUGCAGACAAUAUGAAGGAGCUUCAAGUAACAGAGAUUACAGACCUUGCCCAACUUUCAUGAUCAGCAAGUGGCAAAGACAGAAAUAACUUAGCACUCUAAGUCUCCACAGCUCUUAAUACUUAAUCAAAUCCUAAAGCCUUAAGAAAAAGGAAUGGGAACAGAUUUAUGGAAUGGACAGAUUUUUUCCCCCAGACUACUAGCCCAUUUUGUCCAUUUUAAUUAAUACUGUACUGCUGUGGCUUCUCACUAGCACCCUGAGGAUGCUCCCAGGUGCCUCAUACACCUACAUCUGGAGGUGAGCUAUGUUCAAGAGCACUCAACGGCUGCCUGCUUUACACAAUGUACAUACCAUCCAGUCCUUUUUUUGUGACCUGCAGUUUACAGAUGCACAUCUGUAUAAUUAGUAUUUUCAUUUAUACACGUUAUUAAAUUUCAGUAUCUCUUCUUUGAAUAUCA